rnacentral:rRNA from 1 species
GUCGUCACGAGCCCGACCUCCCAAACCCUUUGUCUAUUUUACCUUGUCGUUGCUUCGGCGGACCGGUCGCGACCAACUGGUCGUGGCCGCCGGGGGUCCACCUCCUGGAGAGCGUCCGCCGAUGGCCCAACCACAAACUCUUGUAUCAAACCAUGUCGUCUGAAUUACUUGAUUAAAAUCAAAAAACAAAACUUUCAACAACGGAUCUCUUGGUUCUGGCAUCGAUGAAGAACGCAGCGAAAUGCGAUAAGUAAUGCGAAUUGCAGAAUUUCCGUGAGUCAUCGAAUCUUUGAACGCACAUUGCGCCCACUGGUAUUCCGGUGGGCAUGCCUGUUCGAGCGUCAUUAUCCUCCCUCAAACCUCGGGUUUGGUGUUGGACCCAAGUUGUGUGAACAACUGGUCUCAAAGACAAUGACGGCGUCCGUGGGACCCUCGGUGCAACGAGCUUUUAAACGAGCACGCGUCGAGUUUCAAGGACCUUCCGGGCCGGUCUCCUUCUUUUAUUUACAAAGGUUGACCUCGGAUCAGGUAGGAAUACCCGCUGAACUUAAGCAUAUCAAUAAGCCGGAGGAA